rnacentral:rRNA from 1 species
AGGUUUCUCUCACUAUCAGGUAUGAACAGACUCUCUAUGCUGAACCAGUUUUAUAAACAACGCUGUAAGAAGAAUUGGGCUGGGGCUGGUGAUCGUGCUACUUUUUUUCACCAAGCUGUUGUUAAGCAUAGAAAGCGUAAUACUAUUUGCUCUAUCAAAGAUGAGACCAACAUGAUUCAUUUCAAACCUUCUGCUAUCACCAACACUUUUGUCAAUUAUUACAAUAAUACUGAUAGACCUUAUGUGUCCACCCAGUGGGCGAAUGAUCCUUCAGACCCAACCUAUGCUCUUCCUGAUAAUCAUGAGGUUUUGCAAAUUCUAAAAGAUAUGAAGUUAAAUGCUUCUCCAGGGCCAGAUGGAUUCAAUGUUGAAUUUUACAUGGCUGCUUGGGAUUGGAUAGGAGACGAGGUUACCCAGCUUAUUAUCAAUUUUUAUCUUACUGGUGUUCUGCCACCUCACAUUAAUGAUACUAACAUUGCUCUUAUUCCUAAGAAGUUGGUUCCUUAAGUCCCUAUGGAUUAUCGCCCA